AUUGAACGCUGGCGGCAGGCCUAACACAUGCAAGUCGAACGAGUGGCGGACGGGUGAGUAAUGUCUGGGAAACUGCCCGAUGGAGGGGGAUAACUACUGGAAACGGUAGCUAAUACCGCAUACCAUCGGAUGUGCCCAGAUGGGAUUAGCUUGUAGGUGAGGUAACGGCUCACCUAGGCGACGAUCCCUAGCUGGUCUGAGAGGAUGACCAGCCGAACUGGAACUUAGACACGGUGCAGACUCCUAAGUGAGGCAGCAGUGGGGAAUAGUGCACAAGGGGCGCAAGCCUGAUGCAGCCAUGCCGCGGGUAUGAAGAAGGACUUCUGGUUUUAAAGUACUUUAAGUUGGGAGGCGUUAACCGCAGAAGAAGCACCGGCUAACUCCGUGCCAGCCGCCGCGGUAAUAC
rnacentral:rRNA from 1 species